rnacentral:rRNA from 1 species
UUAAGCGACUAAGCGUACACGGUGGAUGCCCUGGCAGUCAGAGGCGAUGAAGGACGUGCUAAUCUGCGAUAAGCGUCGGUAAGGUGAUAUGAACCGUUAUAACCGGCGAUUUCCGAAUGGGGAAACUCAGUGUGAUUCGUCACACUAUCAUUAACUGAAUCCAUAGGUUAAUGAGGCGAACCGGGGGAACUGAAACAUCUAAGUACCCCGAGGAAAAGAAAUCAACCGAGAUUCCCCCAGUAGCGGCGAGCGAACGGGGAGGAGCCCAGAGCCUGAAUCAGUGUGUGUGUUAGUGGAAGCGUCUGGAAAGGCGCGCGAUACAGGGUGACAGCCCCGUACACAAAAAUGCACAUGCUGUGAGCUCGAUGAGUAGGGCGGGACACGUGGUAUCCUGUCUGAAUAUGGGGGGACCAUCCUCCAAGGCUAAAUACUCCUGACUGACCGAUAGUGAACCAGUACCGUGAGGGAAAGGCGAAAAGAACCCCGGCGAGGGGAGUGAAAAAGAACCUGAAACCGUGUACGUACAAGCAGUGGGAGCACGCUUAGGCGUGUGACUGCGUACCUUUUGUAUAAUGGGUCAGCGACUUAUAUUCUGUAGCAAGGUUAACCGAAUAGGGGAGCCGAAGGGAAACCGAGUCUUAACUGGGCGUUAAGUUGCAGGGUAUAGACCCGAAACCCGGUGAUCUAGCCAUGGGCAGGUUGAAGGUUGGGUAACACUAACUGGAGGACCGAACCGACUAAUGUUGAAAAAUUAGCGGAUGACUUGUGGCUGGGGGUGAAAGGCCAAUCAAACCGGGAGAUAGCUGGUUCUCCCCGAAAGCUAUUUAGGUAGCGCCUCGUGAAUUCAUCUCCGGGGGUAGAGCACUGUUUCGGCAAGGGGUCAUCCCGACUUACCAACCCGAUGCAAACUGCGAAUACCGGAGAAUGUUAUCACGGGAGACACACGGCGGGUGCUAACGUCCGUCGUGAAGAGGGAAACAACCCAGACCGCCAGCUAAGGUCCCAAAGUCAUGGUUAAGUGGGAAACGAUGUGGGAAGGCCCAGACAGCCAGGAUGUUGGCUUAGAAGCAGCCAUCAUUUAAAGAAAGCGUAAUAGCUCACUGGUCGAGUCGGCCUGCGCGGAAGAUGUAACGGGGCUAAACCAUGCACCGAAGCUGCGGCAGCGACACUGUGUGUUGUUGGGUAGGGGAGCGUUCUGUAAGCCUGUGAAGGUGUGCUGUGAGGCAUGCUGGAGGUAUCAGAAGUGCGAAUGCUGACAUAAGUAACGAUAAAGCGGGUGAAAAGCCCGCUCGCCGGAAGACCAAGGGUUCCUGUCCAACGUUAAUCGGGGCAGGGUGAGUCGACCCCUAAGGCGAGGCCGAAAGGCGUAGUCGAUGGGAAACAGGUUAAUAUUCCUGUACUUGGUGUUACUGCGAAGGGGGGACGGAGAAGGCUAUGUUGGCCGGGCGACGGUUGUCCCGGUUUAAGCGUGUAGGCUGGUUUUCCAGGCAAAUCCGGAAAAUCAAGGCUGAGGCGUGAUGACGAGGCACUACGGUGCUGAAGCAACAAAUGCCCUGCUUCCAGGAAAAUCCUCUAAGCAUCAGGUAACAUCAAAUCGUACCCCAAACCGACACAGGUGGUCAGGUAGAGAAUACCAAGGCGCUUGAGAGAACUCGGGUGAAGGAACUAGGCAAAAUGGUGCCGUAACUUCGGGAGAAGGCACGCUGAUAUGUAGGUGAAGCGACUUGCUCGUGGAGCUGAAAUCAGUCGAAGAUACCAGCUGGCUGCAACUGUUUAUUAAAAACACAGCACUGUGCAAACACGAAAGUGGACGUAUACGGUGUGACGCCUGCCCGGUGCCGGAAGGUUAAUUGAUGGGGUCAGCGCAAGCGAAGCUCUUGAUCGAAGCCCCGGUAAACGGCGGCCGUAACUAUAACGGUCCUAAGGUAGCGAAAUUCCUUGUCGGGUAAGUUCCGACCUGCACGAAUGGCGUAAUGAUGGCCAGGCUGUCUCCACCCGAGACUCAGUGAAAUUGAACUCGCUGUGAAGAUGCAGUGUACCCGCGGCAAGACGGAAAGACCCCGUGAACCUUUACUAUAGCUUGACACUGAACAUUGAGCCUUGAUGUGUAGGAUAGGUGGGAGGCUUAGAAGUGUGGACGCCAGUCUGCAUGGAGCCGACCUUGAAAUACCACCCUUUAAUGUUUGAUGUUCUAACGUUGACCCGUAAUCCGGGUUGCGGACAGUGUCUGGUGGGUAGUUUGACUGGGGCGGUCUCCUCCUAAAGAGUAACGGAGGAGCACGAAGGUUGGCUAAUCCUGGUCGGACAUCAGGAGGUUAGUGCAAUGGCAUAAGCCAGCUUGACUGCGAGCGUGACGGCGCGAGCAGGUGCGAAAGCAGGUCAUAGUGAUCCGGUGGUUCUGAAUGGAAGGGCCAUCGCUCAACGGAUAAAAGGUACUCCGGGGAUAACAGGCUGAUACCGCCCAAGAGUUCAUAUCGACGGCGGUGUUUGGCACCUCGAUGUCGGCUCAUCACAUCCUGGGGCUGAAGUAGGUCCCAAGGGUAUGGCUGUUCGCCAUUUAAAGUGGUACGCGAGCUGGGUUUAGAACGUCGUGAGACAGUUCGGUCCCUAUCUGCCGUGGGCGCUGGAGAACUGAGGGGGGCUGCUCCUAGUACGAGAGGACCGGAGUGGACGCAUCACUGGUGUUCGGGUUGUCAUGCCAAUGGCACUGCCCGGUAGCUAAAUGCGGAAGAGAUAAGUGCUGAAAGCAUCUAAGCACGAAACUUGCCCCGAGAUGAGUUCUCCCUGACCCUUUAAGGGUCCUGAAGGAACGUUGAAGACGACGACGUUGAUAGGCCGGGUGUGUAAGCGCAGCGAUGCGUUGAGCUAACCGGUACUAAUGAACCGUGAGGCUUAACCUU